GGGAUUGCCCUAGUAACGGCGAGUGAAGCGGCAACAGCUCAAAUUUGAAAUCUGGCUCUUUCAGGGUCCGAGUUGUAAUUUGCAGAGGGCGCUUUGGCUUUGGCAGCGGUCCAAGUUCCUUGGAACAGGACGUCACAGAGGGUGAGAAUCCCGUACGUGGUCGCUAGCUAUUGCCGUGUAAAGCCCCUUCGACGAGUCGAGUUGUUUGGGAAUGCAGCUCUAAAUGGGAGGUAAAUUUCUUCUAAAGCUAAAUAUUGGCCAGAGACCGAUAGCGCACAAGUAGAGUGAUCGAAAGAUGAAAAGCACUUUGGAAAGAGAGUCAAACAGCACGUGAAAUUGUUGAAAGGGAAGCGCUUGCAGCCAGACUUGCUUGCAGUUGCUCAUCCGGGCUUUUGCCCGGUGCACUCUUCUGCAGGCAGGCCAGCAUCAGUUUGGGCGGUGGGAUAAAGGUCUCUGUCACGUACCUCUCUUCGGGGAGGCCUUAUAGGGGAGACGACAUACCACCAGCCUGGACUGAGGUCCGCGCAUCUGCUAGGAUGCUGGCGUAAUGGCUGUAAGCGGCCCGUCUUGAAACACGGACCAAGGAGUCUAACAUCUAUGCGAGUGUUUGGGUGUCAAGCCCGAGCGCGUAAUGAAAGUGAACGGAGGUGGGAACCCGCAAGGGCGCACCAUCGACCGAUCCUGAAGUUUACGGAAGGAUUUGAGUAAGAGCAUGGCUGUUGGGACCCGAAAGAUGGUGAACUAUGCUUGAAUAGGGUGAAGCCAGAGGAAACUCUGGUGGAGGCUCGCAGCGGUUCUGACGUGCAAAUCGAUCGUCAAAUUUGGGCAUAGGGGCGAAAGACUAAUC
rnacentral:rRNA from 1 species